rnacentral:misc_RNA from 1 species
AUGAAAAUAAGUCGGUUGGUUGUGCUGGCGUGCAAGCGCAUGUGCACAUUGGCUGCAAAUCCACACACCUGUGCACUUUAGGCUCUGAGUGAGUGGCUGUAUUGGCUGCACCUCGGAGUAUUUUACACACGCUGUAUGUAAAAGGAUGAUGUUGUGCUAUGCACAUAUAUA